CUAGGCUACAACGAUCUCUGUAUUCUUACGUAUAGUCCGCGUAUGAAUAAAUAAUAAUAAUAAAAAAAUACUUUGAACCUAACAAACAAUCCCAUCAGAUAAAGUACAUGACUGAGAUGUUUCUGUUACGUUUUCUUCCAUCUUUAAAAAAUGAAGAAGCUGUACGUGUUUAACUUUUUUCGCUGCAAUACAUUAUGAUAUUAUCCCCUUGUCGUCCUGUUCGAGGCGUCGUUCCCCUGUCUUCGUGAAGUAGGAAGCGCUCACACACUCAGCGCUGGGAAUUAAAAGUACGCCAUAAAUAUGGCGCCAAAAGAGUUCACAGGCUGAUGAUAGAUCUAGUGAGGAAGCAGGACUGGUAGAUGUAGUGAGGAAGCAGGACCGGUAGAUCGAGUGAGGAAGCGGGACUGGUCUGGGGGUGUUCGUGCAGAUAGCGGUGUUCAGGUCGGGCUCAGGAGCGACAGACCCAGCAACUAAAACAAGGCGCUGUGUUUUUUCGGAGGACCGUUGCGAAACUGGCUCGCAAUCUUUUUCUGAGUCAUCUCCCUGAAAGCAUCUCUUCUUCUUCACCCUUCAUCGGCACUGGGAGGAAACCAGUCGGGGCGCAGAGACCAGACCUGUCGGGUUCACACCAUAUUUGGACUGUUAUGGAAAUGCGACACGAUUUCUGAACAUCUUGCGCGCACCUCGCAACCUGCGAAAUCGUAACGGACUACCGCCGCUUACCAGAGAAAAUACCUUCUGGCCGUCUCUACUUUUCCCUAACCUCUGGAUCAGGACUCUCCACGUCUCCGCAGAUCGAUGUGACGUGCUGUCACGGCGGACAGAGGGACGGUCCUGUCACCGCCGGGGAGUCAGGAGGGCUUCCACCGCCUAGCAGCGCUAGCAGGCGGGCACCGUGCAUGUCAGGGUCCUGCUCUAAACUACAUGUGGCCGGCUUCAAAUGAGCUCCUAAACCCCCCGGACCCGCCCGCCGUCCACAGCCGAGGACGCUUCCCCGCUCCGCGCCGACUGAACGGGGUCACACAUACAUGAAGAUGGAGAGCGAAAGGAAGAAGAGGAAAUACUCGACCAGCAGUAAUGACUCUGACACCACUGACAGUCAGGUGAUGUCUUGGUCCAGUUCAUCCAAGAACACGGGCACCAACAGCACCUGGGUCCGCCUCCAGCACAAGAAGCCAUCAGAGGGGACAUUACAUGGCAAGUGGAACUCCACUCCACUGCUCACAAAUGUCUCAGAUGGUCUUGUUCCUCAAAGUGCAGCAGCUUCCAAUAACGGC
ensembl:lncRNA